AAUCCAGAGAUGGAUUUGUGCCUUCGGGAACUGUGAGACAGGUGCUGCAUGGCUGUCGUCAGCUCGUGUUGUGAAAUGUUGGGUUAAGUCCCGCAACGAGCGCAACCCUUAUCCUUUGUUGCCAGCGAUUAGGUCGGGAACUCAAAGGAGACUGCCAGUGAUAAACUGGAGGAAGGUGGGGAUGACGUCAAGUCAUCAUGGCCCUUACGACCAGGGCUACACACGUGCUACAAUGGCGCAUACAAAGAGAAGCGACCUCGCGAGAGCAAGCGGACCUCAUAAAGUGCGUCGUAGUCCGGAUUGGAGUCUGCAACUCGACUCCAUGAAGUCGGAAUCGCUAGUAAUCGUGGAUCAGAAUGCCACGGUGAAUACGUUCCCGGGCCUUGUACACACCGCCCGUCACACCAUGGGAGUGGGUUGCAAAAGAAGUAGGUAGCUUAACCUUCGGGAGGGCGCUUACCACUUUGUGAUUCAUGACUGGGGUGAAGUCGUAACAA
rnacentral:rRNA from 1 species